rnacentral:rRNA from 1 species
GACGAACGCUGGCGGCGUGCCUAAUACAUGCAAGUUGAGCGCUGAAGGUUGGUCCUUGUACCAACUGGAUGAGCAGCGAACGGGUGAGUAACGCGUGGGGAAUCUGCCUUUGAGCGGGGGACAACAUUUGGAAACGAAUGCUAAUACCGCAUAAAAACUUUAAACACAAGUUUUAAGUUUGAAAGAUGCAAUUGCAUCACUCAAAGAUGAUCCCGCGUUGUAUUAGCUAGUUGGUGAGGUAAAGGCUCACCAAGGCGAUGAUACAUAGCCGACCUGAGAGGGUGAUCGGCCACAUUGGGGCUGAGACACGGCCCAAACUCCUACGGGAGGCAGCAGUAGGGAAUCUUCGGCAAUGGACGAAAGUCUGACCGAGCAACGCCGCGUGAGUGAAGAAGGUUUUCGGAUCGUAAAACUCUGUUGGUAGAGAAGAACGUUGGUGAGAGUGGAAAGCUCAUCAAGUGACGGUAACUAACCAGAAAGGGACGGCUAACUACGUG